GUUUUCCUACGUCAUCAGUGCUUCAUUCAGUAGCUAUCAUAAUUUCGCGACUUUGUAUGUAUUACAAAAUUUCAGUUUAUCUAAAUUUUUUCUGAAAAAAUCAAAUUUGCGCCACUACAUUUGUCGACUCGCAUCAUGAGAACAAAGAUUCAAAGAGAACAUCGAUUAAAGAUUCUAGGGAAGUGAGGAAGAAUAUUUGCAAUUGAUGAUAAAUAAGAAUGGAAAAGUGUUCAUUUUGAUGCAACUGAAAAAAAAGCAAGUUGCCUGCCAUGGUUUCGUUUCAUUUUGGAGGGUCUUCUAAUUAAUUACGGAACAUUAAAAAAACCUUGGACGGCAUUACUUUACAGUGGCUUGGUUGUGUCAGUGUUCAUUCGAUUCAGAAAGUAGCUAUCCUAAAAAGAAGCACAAAAGUGCCUUUUUUUCAUUGAGAACGGAUACAUUGUAGCAUUGAUGAAGGAAGGAUUUAUGAUGUAUGAACUGGUAAAUAAACUAUAUCAAUUAAAAAUAUUAAUCCAGGUCCCAGAAACUUCAAUUUCUUAGGCAUUUGUAACUUACUUUCAUCAGACAACUUUUUAACGUUUUAAACGUGGCAGAAGCAAGAUGUGGAACUGGCCUUUCCAUCAGUGCAAAAGUUAGCUUCUAACUUUAACACCACAUCUCUAC